AUUGAACGCUGGCGGCAUGCCUUACACAUGCAAGUCGAACGGUAACGCGGGGCAACCUGGCGACGAGUGGCGAACGGGUGAGUAAUGCAUCGGAACGUGCCCAGUAGUGGGGGAUAGCCCGGCGAAAGCCGGAUUAAUACCGCAUACGACCUACGGGUGAAAGGGGGGGAUCGCAAGACCUCUCGCUAUUGGAGCGGCCGAUGUCAGAUUAGGUAGUUGGUGGGGUAAAGGCCUACCAAGCCGACGAUCUGUAGCUGGUCUGAGAGGACGACCAGCCACACUGGGACUGAGAAACGGCCCAGACUCCUACGGGAGGCAGCAGUGGGGAAUUUUGGACAAUGGGCGCAAGCCUGAUCCAGCCAUGCCGCGUGCGGGAAGAAGGCCUUCGGGUUGUAAACCGCUUUUGUCAGGGAAGAAAUCUUCUGGGUUAAUACCUCGGGAGGAUGACGGUACCUGAAGAAUAAGCACCGGCUAACUACGUGCCAGCAGCCGCGGUAAGAC
rnacentral:rRNA from 1 species